AGAGGUUUUGUAGAGACACGUGUGGACUGACUAGACUGUGUGGUUGUAUUGGACAUGUCAGCCAGGUCGGACCGGGACACUGGCAGCCGCGGGGGUCGAAGGAAGAUCUGUACAGACGGCCAGCAGCACCGGGAGGUGGCUGAGAAAUCACACCGACAUAGGAGACUGGUUCACGGUUUCUCCAGAGAUGCUGCAAGUCUGAUGGGAACUCUGUCAACAUGUGAGGACAACUUCCCAACAGCUCUGCCCAUGCGGUUGGAUGUGGUCAGGGGUCCUGAGCGUCUUCCUGCAGAUGAGGAGUCACAGGAAAUGCUGAGAGGAAAACUGCGCAUUCUGCAAGCUGACAGCACCGAGGUCACUGCUCUAUUCAUGGAGCUGUCGACUCAUCUCAUCUCCAUCGACAGUGAAGAAAACAUUCUUUUUGUGACGUUCAAAACAUUUGAGGAGCUAUGGAAGUUCACCACAUAUUACACAAUAGGUUUCCUGGGUCAAUGUAUGGAGAAUCUAUUGUUAGACCAGAAGUUUUGGCUCAGUUCUUUGGAGGAGAACAUCGCUAUUGAGGUUUCUAUUCAGGAGGAUACUCUUAACCGUAUCUACAAAGGCAUCCUCAUGCAGGAAGGUUCAUUGUUUGCUAGUUGCAGUACCAACCAGAUGUUUGACAGCUUCACAUCUGGAGGUGACCUGUACCUGGAGCAGGGAGACAUAGCCCAGUUUGAGCCUCCCUUUCUGGGCUCAGGGUGGACCGUCCUCUGCCUGGCUGAUGGAGCCAGAGGCACUGCACCCAAACCUGCUCUUGAGCCAGUCAUCCCUUUUCAUCAAUGGUUUCUCAAAUCCAGUGCAGAGAACAUUUUUGUUGGUAAUGGGAAACCUGCCUGUAACUUCCCUCUGCAGUUUGCCAGAGGAACCUGUCUGGCCACAGUGGAGUAUGAUUCUGAGGGCCCAGAUGAGCUGAGGAUGGCAGCGGGUGAUCGCAUCAUCAUUGUGGGACUUCUUGUGUCUUGUUUUCAUUGGUUCACAGGGAGGAAGGAGGCGACAGGUGAAGUGGGCCUGGUCAAGAUAAGCCUGGUGGAACCAUCCACUGACAUUUACGACUCAGCAGAUAUUUUUUUGGAUGGAGAGGAAGGGACAUUCUUCAGUCUGCAAGAGGACAAAGCCAUAGAGGAAACAGUUGCCUUAUUGAAGAAGAAAUCUAAAAAUGAUAUUGGUCAUAAUUAUAAACUGGAUAUGAUCAGUUACCAAGAUGCUGGAAAAAAAACAUCACUAUGCUCUUUAUGCAAAGCUGAUACUCAGCACACUGACCUGAAGAGAAAUAUUCAGAGGAUUCUUGAUCAAGGAAAAGACUUGUCUGCAAAUCCCACUGUCACCAUGAGCAGGACUCUAGAGGACUCGGUCCAGGAUAGGGAAGCAAAAAACCCAAGCCCUCCUUGUUUCACUGUUCACAAAGUUGUUGAACAUAACAACAACACUGAGGAAUUCAUUCCCCUCUUCUGUUUUUUGGAGGGACAGGACUACAAAGAAGAGUUUGGCGUCCUGUACGGACUGAGUUCUGAACGCCUCACCUCCUCUACCUUCACUGGUCACUCUGACGAUGAUGAACUGAUUGCUUUCCUGGGUGUUGCUAGGGAAACAGCCAGGAAGAAGCGACUCCUUUGGUCACAGACUCGUUUGUGCUUUCUUUUGGGAAAGCUGUGUGCUGGGAGGUCAAAGUUCAGCCAGGCCCGGGUUUACUUUGAGGAAGCCCUCAGUGUACCACGAGAAGCCUUUACGGACCUCAGGCUGUUGGCCAGCAUUUAUUCCAACCUGGCUGCCAUAUAUCUUUUGCAAAAAAAUACUGAAAGCUUCUCUGCUCUGACCGAGCGACUUGUUGCCUUGCUACUAGGAAUUCCAGACUGCCUGAAAGGCUUAGAGGACAACUCUGCUCUUAAAUACAUCCUCAAGAAAGCUGUUCUCUCUCACAACAAAAUGGCAGAGGCUCAUGCUUGUCACCUCAUGGCGAAGCACCACUGGACCCGUGCUGAAAGGGUUCAAGCUGUUCCUUAUCUUGAGAGACUACUUGUUCUUUGUGUUGAAACUCAAAGAACAUUUGGCCUCUCUCCCAGUCAUGGAUACCUGGUCUUAGGAAGGCUCUACAGCAAACUCCAACUUCCUCACCUCAGUGUCAGUUCAGCCAGGAGAGCUUCUCUGCAGCCCUCUGCUACACUGACUGACUGCCUCAGCUGCAUGGUUCUAAUUUGGGACAAUAUCAACAGGCUGUAUGGGAUCACAGAACAGGAAGCUUCCAUCCCACCUCAAGUGGCUCCAUAUCUACACCAAGCCCUCUCUUUUACCAAAGUCAAAAAAGCAGGAAGUGACCAAUACCAUGUUUUAAACCAUCAGCUUACUAUUUGUCUUUGCCAGCUCUGUUACAAGCACAGAAUGGUUGGACAAGCUAUUUACCAUUUGCAUACUCUCAUCAACAACAAUCCACCUUCCCAGCAACUCCCCAUCUCUGUUUCAGAAAGAAACAGUGCCCUAAUCUGGCUGGCAUGGCUUCACAUUGACAACAAUCAGCCAGAUGUUGCUUUGGAUAUCUUGGACUUGGUCCUGGCUGCCAUGCCAGAACACUGUACUACCCCUCAGGAAGGUGUGGUCCUCAACAUGCGUGGUGUGGCGCUUCGAUGCAUAGGUGACCUCCGGAGGGCAGCAGAGAGCUACCAGGCUGCUGUCAACAUCUGCCAAGAGUAUGAGGACAUGCCAAAUUGGGCUGUAGCUCAGGCUAACCAAGGGCUGUUGUGUCUGAAGGCUGGAGCUGCAGGUCUAGCACAGAGACACCUGACUGAGGCUGUGCAGCUCUUCUCUGAGCUAGAUAAAGAAGGUCAUGAGGCGAACUUCAUCACAGUGCUGCUGGAGUUAGGACAGCACUAUGUGAAGCAGCACCAGCUGGACUAUGGGAAAGGAUGCUACGAAUGGGCACUGCUGGAAGCUAUAAAAAGCAACCUGUUAGACUGCGAGCUUGCUGCAACCAGACACCUGUGCCAUCUGUAUGGGUGUGAGAGUCCAGACCAGGCCCAGUGUAUCAUCUACAACCAACACCAGGUCCAGCUGCUGAGACGCACAGGAGAUAGAGGACAGGAGGGAGACGCACUGGAAGCCAUCAGCCAGCUCUACCUCAAUCUGAGGACAGAAAGGGCAUACCGGGCAGCUCUCGACUACACCAAGAGCAGUUUGGGUAUUUACAUUGACCUGGGCUGCAGGGACAAGGAGGCAUAUGGCUGGCUGCAGGCUGGGAAGAUCUACCACCUGCUAAACCAGACUGAACUGGUGGACCUUUACGUUCAGGUAUCUCAGGAUGUCGCUCUGAGUACAGGAGACACCGGAUUCAUCCUGAAGCUUCUGGAGACUGCAGGAGAUAUUUUCUUCAACAGCUGGCGGGACCGGGACAAGGCUAUCACCUUUUACAGGGUACAGUCCGAAUAAAACACUGAGCACAAAGAAUUGCUUGCAGCCGUCAACAAGACCAUGAAUUGUGCAUCACUUGCAACCGCUAUGUGCCCUGUCUCAAUAUCUAAUUCUCAAAAGAUAUUGCACUAAUGAUGUUACAGCACAAAUACGCCCACACGUUUUGCUCCUGUGUUAAAAUGUUUUAUUUGAAAGAAAACAUAUUAUAAUUAGAACUAUAUACAAUACAUGAUACAAAUAUUUUAAAAUAUCUCAUUACAUUUACUUCCUGCUUUCCUGAUCAUGACAUAAAAGUAGAAACUAUUUAACUAUAUCUACACCUGUGCAAAUGUUUUAGGCAGGUGUGGAAGAAAUGCUGUUAAGUAAGAAUGCUUUUAAAAAUCUAUUUUUGAAAGCAUUCUGUCUAAAGACAUGGUAAUAUUAUUAUUAUAUAUAUAUGUAUCAAUUAACAAAAUGCAAAGUGAGUGAACAGAAGAAAAAUCUAAUCAGUAUUUGGUGUGACCACGCUUUGCCUUCAAACAGCAUCAGUUCUUCUAGGUACACUUUCACAAAGUUUUUGAAGGAACUUGUUUGGUUGGCCGAAACAUCUUGGAGAACUCCCCACAGUUCUUCUGUGGAUUUAGGCAGCCUCAGCUGCUUCUCUCUCUUCAUGUAAUCCCAGACAGACUGGAUGAUGUUGAGAUCAGGGCUCUGUGGGGGCCACACCAUCACUUCCAGGACUCCUGGUUCUUCUUUAAGCUGAAGAUCGUUCUUAAUGACUUUCGCUGUGUGUUUGGACUCGUUGUCAUGUUGAAGAAAAAAUCUGAGGCCAAUCAGAUGCCACCCUGAUGGUACAGCAUGAUGAAUAAUUAUACAUUCAUGUGGUGUCGGAAUAAUCAAAAAAAUUAUCUCCUGACUGGGAAAAUUCACAUGAAUACCCACUGAAGUUGGAACGUUGACUUCAUACACGUAGAAACAAGGUUAACAACAUGGUUGAUGGUUAGAAAUGUUAAAAUAAUGGUGUGAAAUAAUGUAUUAUAAUGUGUCAUUUAUAAUAUGGUAUUACGUUAUAAUGGUUAGUUUGCUGUCCUUGUAGAGUGAGGUAGAUUGAUUAGGUUCUAAAGUUAUUUUUUAGCAGUAUUUGCAGUGUAAGCAAUAUUUUAGUGGUUUCAGAAAAUGUACAGGUGCAGUAAUAACGCUGGGACAAAAACAUUACUUUGUUAUAGAAAGCUUCCACAUUCCAACUUAAAGCACAGAACACAGUGAAGUUGGAAGAACGACUUCCCAACACAGGAAAUGGGACCAUCUGAGUAUCAUGUGAAUGCAGCAUUAUAGCCAACCCGUUCUCACUCAUCAGCUCGUCACAAAUGGACGCAUAGUCAAGACCCCUCGGCAUCAGUUUGUAACGCAGUGGGGAUCCCUAAAGCGUUGGGAGAAGCCCUGUAGUGUCAGCUUUUGACGGUUGGUAUAUCAUAUUUAACAGAAAAGACUGAUAAAGAGGUGGUUGGGGGAUGGAGAGCAACAACCCAACUGGAGUUCAUGUCCUGUAUGAAACAAAAAGUCAACAUUAAAUAUUUUUAUUUAAGUUAUGCUACUUAUGUAAAUUAUGUAAGGUACGCAAGUGAGGUAAGUUAACUUACGUGUUAACUGACCUAGUUAUUUUCACCCAAACCAUGAUCUUUUCCUAACCUUAACCAAUUAGUUUUGUUGCCUAAACCUAGCGAUGUAAUUUUUGAGCAUUAGAUGCAACAUUUCACAACUUUAAUAACGUUACGUUUCAAAAUGGCGGUGUUUCGAAACGCUAGCAUUUUAUUUCGAAGGUCUAACCGGACAUUACAUAUUUGUUGUUCCUAAGCGUUGACCACGGAGCUCUAAAUGUCUAAAAACGCUAAAGUGUUAAAAAGCGACGCCAAAGGGCAUUGACCAAGUGUCACGAGUCGGGAGUGUGUGCCUCUACUUUCCAGCAUUAAAGAGACUCAUUCUGACCAAAUCCCCAACUCUAUCUGCAGAAACGCAGCCCCAAAUUUGCAAGAAACCUUCACUGUUCUCAUUCUUGUACCGCUCUCCAGCCCUUCAGCAAACAAAUGCCUUCGGCUGCAGCCAAAUAUUUCAGAUUUUCAGAUCAGUCCAGAGCACGUGUUGCCAUUUUUCUGCACUCCAGUUUCUGUGUUUCUGUGCAUAGUUGAGUUGUGUGUUUACAUGUUGGAGGCUUUUUGGCUGCAAGUCUUUCAUGCAGGCCACUUCUGACCAGACUUUCCCAGAAAGUAGAUGGGUGUACCAGGGUCCCACUGUUUUCUGCAGCUCUGAGCUGAUGGCACUGCUGGAUAUCUACCGAUUGUUAAGGGAGGACCGUGCUCUGCCCAUUGCAGUGAAGAGCAGCAGUGUUUGUUCCAGGCUAAGGUUAUGUAAUAAGCUGGCUGAAUUGAUGCUCAGUCUCAAGCUGUAUGGGGAAGCUGUGGAGUUUGCACAGACUGCACUGGACA